rnacentral:piRNA from 7 species
GGGUCGGGGUUUCGUACGUAGCAGAGCA